UCCGUGGCUCGAGGACGAACGCUGGCGGCGUGCUUAACACAUGCAAGUCGAACGGUAAGGCCCUUCGGGGUACACGAGUGGCGAACGGGUGAGUAACACGUGGGUGAUCUGCCCUGCACUUCGGGAUAAGCUUGGGAAACUGGGUCUAAUACCGGAUAGGACCACGGUCUGCAUGGAUUGUGGUGGAAAGCUUUUGCGGUGUGGGAUGGGCCCGCGGCCUAUCAGCUUGUUGGUGGGGUGAUGGCCUACCAAGGCGACGACGGGUAGCCGGCCUGAGAGGGUGUCCGGCCACACUGGGACUGAGAUACGGCCCAGACUCCUACGGGAGGCAGCAGUGGGGAAUAUUGCACAAUGGGCGCAAGCCUGAUGCAGCGACGCCGCGUGGGGGAUGACGGCCUUCGGGUUGUAAACCUCUUUCAGCAGGGACGAAGGGUGACUGACGGUACCUGUAGAAGAAGCACCGGCCAACUACGUG
rnacentral:rRNA from 1 species